AAGGGAAGGGGAGAAGAGAAACAGGGGAUUAGAAAGAGGGAAACUAGUGAAGGAAAAAGAAAUGAGGAAGAGAAAUAUCAUUUCAGUAGGAGAAAAUUUUGAAGGAACAAGGGUCGUAGAUGGCAAAGAUGAAUUCAAAGGUUUAGACAACUAUUAUCAUAGACACGUGGGAGUCGCGCCAUCAUCCGAAGUAUAAGGGAUGCGUAGUAUCCUCCUCCAGCAAACGGUCAAGGUCGGUAGCCCUAUCCGACAGUGCCUCCGAUGAGGUGGCUACCCAGCUUGCCGCAACUAACUUGGGUAGUCCUGACGCUGGCCCGAGCAGUUCCCAACGCCGGCUGCAAGGAAGGAAGAAGGCGACGACCAACCGCCGUUGCACCGCGACUCCAUCCGCCCCCGAUCCCGAUCCCGCUCCCUUUGUGCCACCUCAACCCUCCAACCACGCGUUGUGGCCCCUCUUGGCUCAACUCAAUAUGGCCGAUACGUCUCGGAUGACUCCCGAGCAACUUGAUUCACAUGUUCCAAUGAUAUGGGGUCUCUGAAGAACAUUGGGGAUAGAGGACUAGUCUUCCACGAGGGUAUUUUUUAGCUUUUAAUAAUGUAAU